rnacentral:rRNA from 1 species
AUUGAACGCUGGCGGAAUGCUUUACACAUGCAAGUCGAACGGCAGCACGGACUUCGGUCUGGUGGCGAGUGGCGAACGGGUGAGUAAUGUAUCGGAACGUGCCCAGUCGUGGGGGAUAACGUAGUGAAAAUUACGCUAAUACCGCAUACGAUCUAUGGAUGAAAGCGGGGGAUCGCAAGACCUCGAGCGAUUGGAGCGGCCGAUAUCAGAUUAGGUAGUUGGUGGGGUAAAGGCCCACCAAGCCAACGAUCUGUAGCUGGUCUGAGAGGACGACCAGCCACACUGGAACUGAGACACGGUUCAGACUCCUACGGGAGGCAGCAGUGGGGAAUUUUGGACAAUGGGCGAAAGCCUGAUCCAGCCAUUCCGCGUGCAGGAUGAAGGCCCUCGGGUUGUAAACUGCUUUUGUACAGAACGGAAAGGUUUCUACUAAUACUAGGAGCUCAUGACGGUACUGUAAGAAUAAGUACCGGCUAACUACGUGCCAGCCGCCGCAGUAA